CAGUAGCGUAUACUAAUGUUGCUGCAGUUAAAAGCUCGUAGUUGGAUUUCUGGUUCAUCAUUGUGGUCCUGUGUGCCUUCGGGCCAUUGAGUAUCGCAAUUGAUCUGCCAUCCUAUCAGGGUUUCGGUGGUAACACUGUUAUUCUGGUUCUUUUACUUUGAAAAAUUAGAGUGUUUAAAGCAAGCUUCGCGAUGAAUACAUUAGCAUGGAAUAAUAAUAUAGGACUACGGUUCUAUUUUGUUGGUUUCUAGAACUGAAGUAAUGAUUGAUAGGGAUAGUGGGGUGCUAGUAUUGAGAGGCCAGAGGUGAAAUUCUUGGGAUUCUCUCAAGACUAACUUAUGCGAAAGCAUUCACCAAGGAUGUCUUCUUUAAUCAAGAACGAAAGUUGGGGGGAUCGAAGACGAUUAG
rnacentral:rRNA from 1 species